UACGAAGGGGGCUAGCGUUGUUCGGAUUUACUGGGCGUAAAGGGCUCGUAGGCGGCCAACUAAGUCAGACGUGAAAUCCCCAGGCUCAACCUGGGAACUGCGUCUGAUACUGGAUGGCUUGAAUCCGGGAGAGGGAUGCAGAAUUCCAGGUGUAGCGGUGAAAUGCGUAGAUAUCUGGAGGAAUACCGGUGGCGAAGGCGGCAUCCUGGACCGGCAUUGACGCUGAGGAGCGAAAGCCAGGGGGAGCAAACGGGG
rnacentral:rRNA from 1 species